UGUAGUAUAAGUCAUGUAUGGUUGGAUUCCUGUAGAAGUAAGUGGUCUAGCAAUCUGUGGCCAGACUAUCCGAGUAGAUGACAUUAAUCAAUUAAAACUAUGAAGCUGGAUAUGCUUUAAAGGACUCUCUUACAGAAGGUUUUACAGGUGAACAACAAUUAGCAACUCCCGAUCGAAUUGCACACAACAACCACCCACAAUCACAGCUGUAAAAAGUAACACGGAUAGGUAGCAAGGAAAUCAAGCUUGUACACAGAAAUCUACACAAAAACUGGGUUUUAUAAGCGCACGAAAAGCGACGCGGCUAUCUUUGAAUAAAAAGUAAACAAAA